rnacentral:rRNA from 1 species
CCUACGGGUGGCUGCAGUGAGGAAUAUUGGUCAAUGGCCGGAAGGCUGAACCAGUCAAGCCGCGUGAGGGAGGAAGGCGCAGAGCGUCGCAGACCUCUUUUGCCGGGGGACAAAAGGCCGGACUCGUCCGGUCCUGAGGGUACCCGGAGAAAAAGCAUCGGCUAACUCCGUUCCAGCAGCCGCGGUAAUACGGAGGAUGCGAGCGUUAUCCGGAUUCAUUGGGGUUAAAGGGUGCGCGGCCGGGCCUUUAAGCCGGCGGUGAAAUCGCGGGGCCCAACCCGGCCGAGCAGCCGGAACUGGGGGGCUUGAGUGCGGCAGAGGCAGGCGGAAGGCGCGGUGUAGCGGUGAAAUGCGUAGAUAUCGGGCAGAAUCCCGAUUGCGAAGGCAGCGUGCUGUGCGACGACUGACGCUGAGGCGCGAAAGCGUGGGGAUCGAACAGGAUUAGAUACCCGAGUAGUC